CUCCGUCUUGGGGAGGUCGCUGCAGCAGGAGGAGGUAACUACUGCUGGUUUUGUAAGGCAUUGUGGUUGAGAGCACCUUGCAGCUGUAACGCGAAUUUCGUUCCGUAAUAAACAAUGUACCGUAUGCUGCCUGUCCUUCCUCCCUCCCAGCACUGUGUAUGUCUGUGCGUGUGUGUGUGUCUUAAUUCUCCCUCACUGCACUGUGCGUACGUCUGUGUGUGUGUGUGUGUGUUGUUCUGUCUCUGUCUCUCUCUCUCUCAAUCUCUCUCUCUGUCUCUGUCUCUCUCUGUCUGUCUCUCUAUCUCUCAAUCUCUCUGUCUUUCUCUCUAUCUCUCAAUCUCUCUGUCUUUCUCUCUCUCUCUAGUUAGUAAAGAACAGGCAACAAGAAACCUCCACGGCUGAGCUUCAACAACAGAACACCUCGUCACCGUUGAGGAGGCUCCACGCCCCGGACCACAGCCAUGUUAGCCUCGAUAAUAGUCCUCGGCGCACUUAUUCUGAGAUGUCCUCGUGAGUGAGUGCCCUAAUUGCCUUUACUGAUAAUGUCGCAGGUAUCCAAUGGUUCAGGUGUGAUGUCAAAUAUUUUUGUUAUUGUGUCGUAAAUAUCCAGUGAUUAUUUCAGUCGCUGAAUGUUCAUCGCACACAGUUUGUCUGAGUAGAAACACUGAUUAAUAUCCAUGAUCGGUUAAAUUACGAACUCCCUCGAUUUCAGACUGGAGAGCUACACAACACCGGUCAUCCGCUGAGUGGUUGAAUUCCUGGUCUACCGGCCCCUGGAGGAGUGGUCGAUUGCCUGGUCUACUGUGGAUAUGAGUGGUUGAUUCCCUGGUCUACCCCUGGAUGACGCAGCUGUUCCUAUGCAGGGGAAGACUCACCCAAGCGAUAAGGUAAGGUUUUAAUGGCUGGGUUUACAAGAAGUUUUAAUGGCUGGGUUUACAAGAGGUUUUAAUGGUUGGGUUUACAAGAGGUUUUAAUGGUUGGGUUUACAAGAGGUUUUAAUGGCUGGGUUUACAAGAGAUUUUAAUGGCUGGGUUUACAAGAGAUUUUAAUGGCUGGGUUUACAGAGAUUUUAAUGGCUGGGUUUACAAGAGAUUUUAAUGGCUGGGUUUACAAGAGAUUUUAAUGGCUGGGUUUACAAGAAGUUUUAAUGGCUGGGUUUACAAGAAGUUUUAAUGGCUGGGUUUACAAGAAGUUUUAAUGGCUGGGUUUACAAGAAGUUUUAAUGGCUGGGUUUACAAGAAGUUUUAAUGGCUGGGUUUACAAGAAGUUUUAAUGGCUGGGUUUACAAGAAGUUUUAAUGGCUGGGUUUACAAGAAGUUUUAAUGGCUGGGUUUACAAGAAGUUUUAAUGGCUGGGUUUACAAGAGGUUUUAAUGGGUGGGUUUACAAGAGGUUUUAAUGGGUGGGUUUACAAGAGGUUUUAAUGGCUGGGUUUACAAGAGGUUUUAAUGGCUGGGUUUACAAGAGGUUUUAAUGGCUGGGUUUACAAGAGGUUUUAAUGGCUGGGUUUACAAGAGGUUUUAAUGGCUGGGUUCAAGAGAGGUUUUAAUGGCUGGGUUCAAGAGAGGUUUUAAUAGCUGGGUUCAAGAGAGGUUUUAAUAGCUGGGUUCAAGAGAGGUUUUAAUAGCUGGGUUCAAGAGAGGUUUUAAUAGCUGGGUUCAAGAGAGGUUUUAAUAGCUGGGUUCAAGAGAGGUUUUAAUAGCUGGGUUCAAGAGAGGUUUUAAUAGCUGGGUUCAAGAGAGGUUUUAAUAGCUGGGUUCAAGAGAGGUUUUAAUAGCUGGGUUCAAGAGAGGUUUUAAUAGCUGGGUUCAAGAGAGGUUUUAAUAGCUGGGUUCAAGAGAGGUUUUAAUAGCUGGGUUCAAGAGAGGUUUUAAUUGCUGGGUUUACAAGAGGUUUUAAUAGCUGGGUUCAAGAGAGGUUUUAAUAGCUGGGUUUACAAGAGGUUUUAAUAGCUGGGUUCAAGAGGUUUUAAUUGCUGGGUUUACAAGAGGUUUUAAUAGCUGGGUUCAAGAGAGGUUUUAAUAGCUGGGUUUACAAGAGGUUUUAAUAGCUGGGUUCAAGAGAGGUUUUAAUAGCUGGGUUUACAAGAGGUUUUAAUAGCUGGGUUCAAGAGAGGUUUUAAUAGCUGGGUUUACAAGAGGUUUUAAUAGCUGGGUUCAAGAGAGGUUUUAAUAGCUGGGUUUACAAGAGGUUUUAAUAGCUGGGUUCAAGAGAGGUUUUAAUGGCUGGGUUUACAAGAGGUUUUAAUGGCUGGGUUUACAAGAGGUUUUAAUUGCUGGGUUUACAAGAGGUUUUAAUUGCUGGGUUUACAAGAGGUUUUAAUGGCUGGGUUUACAAGAGGUUUUAAUGGCUGGGUUUACAAGAGGUUUUAAUGGCUGGGUUUACAAGAGGUUUUAAUGGCUGGGUUUACAAGAGGUUUUAAUGGCUGGGUUUACAAGAGGUUUUAAUGGCUGGGUUUACAAGAGGUUUUAAUGGCUGGGUUUACAAGAGGUUUUAAUGGCUGGGUUUACAAGAGGUUUUAAUUGCUGGGUUUACAAGAGGUUUUAAUGGCUGGGUUUACAAGAGGUUUUAAUGGCUGGGUUUACAAGAGGUUUUAAUGGCUGGGUUUACAAGAGGUUUUAAUGGCUGGGUUUACAAGAGGUUUUAAUGGCUGGGUUUACAAGAGGUUUUAAUGGCUGGGUUUACAAGAGGUUUUAAUGGCUGGGUUUACAAGAGGUUUUAAUGGCUGGGUUUACAAGAGGUUUUAAUGGCUGGGUUUACAAGAGGUUUUAAUGGCUGGGUUUACAAGAGGUUUUAAUGGCUGGGUUUACAAGAGGUUUUAAUGGCUGGGUUUACAAGAGGUUUUAAUAGCUGGGUUUACAAGAGGUUUUAAUGGCACAUAUCUACUGAAUGUUGGUGUGUUACAUAUCUUGACAUGCUCUCAGGGUAAGGAGUGUUCUGAUAUGGUGCCUUCCCCCUCCCCCAGCACCUGUCGGACCUGGAGACUCCCCCCUGAGCCUGACGGUGGAGCUGUGGGCCCUGCACCAGACCCCCCCCCCCCCACACCACCCACAGCAGGGGCAGGGCGUUGAGACUCCCCCCACAGGCUAAGACAGGGAGGGACUUGAAGAUCCGGGUUUUUGUCAUCUGCACAGGAAUUGACACAUGGUAUUUGGGAGCAGCGAGUAGCGGGCUUUUUUUUUUAAUAUAGUUUCCUUUUUUGUGUGUGCCCUUGAGCUGUCUCCUUUGUUGUAGAAAAAAAAUACUUGACAAGGCUUUCAUAGGUGUUUGGGGCAUUUCCAGGGGUAGUUUAAUGACCCUGGUGGUAGUCUGACCCUUCCUCUGCGCAAUGAACUUGAAAAAACGCUCAUAAAAAUGCAGAUAUUAACCCAGUAGCAGCGGGGAUCAUGUUUCUUAAUGGUCCCUCCAAGCGAGAAAAAUGAGAAAAAAAUCACCCCUCACACAAACCAUUUCAUAUAUAUCAAAGCAUUUGCGAUCAGAUUAUGUAUCAUCUAUUUUUGGUGUUUAUAUCAUGGCACAAAUUUAGCCUGUCGCUGCUACACGGUAAAGCCACAAAUUUGGCCUGUCGCUGCUACCGGGUUAACCUCAUUGUCGUGUUAAAAUCCCUGUAUCUCACUGUUAUCUUCCUCUCCCUCUAUAUUAUUUGUCAAUCUCUCUCUUUCUCUCUCUCCCACAGAUGUCUAAGGUUCCGCCCAUGCAGCUGAAGGGUGCCAAUGCCUACACAUGCGUCGACCACAGGUGUGCGCUGGACAUUGCCUACAAUUCAUGGUGCAAAUGGGAGCGUCGGCGGAGAUCGAGCUGGCUGAAGGUUGGCGGCCGGGUCAAGCUCGCCUCGGACAAGGAGUUCCGUGACAUGUGCUCGGCCGAUGUUGUUGACCUCGGCCACAUCAAUGUUACUAAUGCGGUGGAGGUGUGGAAACUACAUCUACAUGGACGACGGACUCAAGGAGAUCGCUGAGACUACUACUACUACUAUUGCUAUUACUAUCCUCUAUACUGCUAUGUGUACUAUUAAAUCCUCUAUACUGCUACUAUGUGUACUAUUGAAUCCCUUAUAUAGUACUUCCAUGACAGCUGAUCGGUGAUAUUACUACUACUACUGCUAUGACCAUUCAAUCCCUGGUAAGUACAAUGUCAUUAUCAUCAUCAUUAUUUAGGUUAAGGUCCAUUUAAUUCAAUCUUCCUGAGCGGUUGGACGCUUUAUGGCUCUCCUCCAUUCUACUCUGUCUUCCGCCCAAUUCUUAUACAGUCCUAUCAAUCCCAAGUCUUCCUGUACACACCUUCUCCACGUUUUCCUAGGUCUACCAACUGGUCUCCUUCCUUCUACCUCCAAUCUCUCCAACACUCCCAGCACUGUAUCCUCCCCUGCUCUCUUUACAUGUCCAAACCAUUGGAGUCUUUCCCUUCUGAGCACUGUUUCCAGGUCCCCUACUAAAACUCCCAGCACUGUGUCCUCCCCAGCUCUCUUUACAUGUCCAAACCAUUGGAGUCUUUCCCUUCUGAGCACUGUUUCCAGGUCCUCUACUAAAACUCCCAGCACUGUAUCCUCCCCUGCUCUCUUUACAUGUCUAAACCAUUGGAGUCUUUCCCUUCUGAGCACUGUUUCCAGGUCCUCUACUAAAACUCCCAGCACUGUGUCCUCCCCAGCUCUCUUUACAUGUCCAAACCAUUGGAGUCUUUCCCUUCUGGGCACUGUUUCCAGGUCCUCUACUAAAACUCCCAGCACUGUGUCCUCCCCUGCUCUCUUUACAUGUCUCUGCCAAAUAUUUCCCUCUCCCUGCCUCUGUCCUUGCCAAAUCACUCUCCCUGCCUGUGUCCCUGCCAUAGCCUCUCCUCCUUACCUAACCUACCUUACCCUACCCUAAGCUACCCUAACCUACCUCUCUCUCUCUCCACCAGGUUGACAAGCCCGUCCAUGGUGAAGAAGCCUCGUCCUACCCGCGCUGAGGUGACCCGUGUGGGCAACGCUACCAUGGAUGGAGCAGUGGGGGAGGCGGUGGCCGAGUGGAUAGCAUGAUGGCGCCACAUUCGGGACAACGCGAGUUCAAUCCCCGCCCGGUGCCACCAAGCUGGGAUUUUUCAGCUGCCGCUGAGUGGCUUAAAACUACCCACAUGCUGUCCAGAAGACCACCUAUCAACCCGGACUCUAGAUUCUAGGAUUAAAGAUGAGCUCCGGGAGGGCAGCAUGAGCCAAUGCAAGAUGGCGUAUGUAUAUACUUACGAAUGUAUACACUUAGAAUAUCUCUCUGAUAAGGCUUUCGUCGGAGUUGUGGAUAUUUCCAGGGGUAGUUUUAUGACCCUGGUGGUAGCAAUAUAUAGUCUGACCCUCUCUGUACUUUGAGCCUUAGGGUCGUAUUAUAAGACAUUUCAUCGCCCAAGAACACUCAUUUGACAAGGUUUUCGUAGGAGUUGAGGGCAUUUCCAGGAGUAGUUCUAUGACCCUGGUGGUAGUGUGACCCCUCCUCUGUACCAUGAACCUGUAGAUACACUCAUGAUAACCCGAUUGACCCCCUCUUUGACCUUUAUAAAUAGGUAAUGUGAGAAGCGAAAGUGUCUUGCAAUACUCAAUUUAUAACUUUUUUGGCCUGUACAUAAAAUCCCUGCUCAAGGUCGCCAUACAGCAGGAGGCGUAACAUAUCUGGAAACCUAUCUUCGUUAUUGGGGCUAUUUCCUUGCAAAUUGGGACUUUCCUGGGAGAGUACAUCACGGCAAAGCCAUUUCUGGUCUCAAAAUUGCGAUACAGCGCCUACCGGUCGAGAUAGCUUUGUGUCUCUCUUAUCUCUGUGUUAUAUAAAGGCUGGCCUCUGACAGUACAUGCAGCAACAUAUGUAACUGUACCUAAUGGGCUAUUAAGAAAUGUUUCAAAUGUUUCAAAUGCUCUGUCCUUACCUCAGUUAAUUCAUUCUUCCUCAUAUAUAUAUAUAUCUUGAUUGCCCUCUCAUCUUUUUAAUUAAUCCUCGAUCGCUCUCUCUUAAUAUAUAUAUCUUGAUUGCCCUCUCAUCUUUUUAAUUAAUCCUCAAUCGCUCUCUUAAUAUAUAUAUCUUGAUUGCCCUCUCAUCUUUUUAAUUAAUCCUCAAUCGCUCUCUUAAUAUAUAUAUCUUGAUUGCUCUCUCUUAAUAUAUAUAUCUUGAUUGCCCUCUCAUCUUUUUAAUUAAUCCUCGAUCGCUCUCUCUUAAUAUAUAUAUCUUGAUUGCCCUCUCAUCUUUUUAAUUAAUCCUCGAUCGCUCUCUUAAUAUAUAUAUCUUGAUUGCCCUCUCAUCUUUUUAAUUAAUCCUCGAUCUUUUAAUCAUCCCAGCCAGCUGUUCCUCUUAGUGGCCCUCACACACCUGUACACAAUUUUCCGUACAUACCAAGAUCCAUUUCUAAUCGUCAGCCAACUCUAAUAUAAAUUCUUUUAAAUUGUUUUAAGAGUAGACUGGAUAGCUACAUGGAUGACAGGUGGCAGUGAGGUGUGGGUGCAGUAAGGUGACGGGGUACACCUCACCCACCGUGAGUAGUGGGGGGGAUUCUGGAGCUGCCCUGUGUAGACCACUCGGCCUCUUGCACUUUCCCUAU